CGCUUCUCGUGAUCUUCGUCUGCUGAAAGGAUCCAAACCGACGAGCUACUAUGUCUCUCACCAGUUGCUUGCUUCCCUUCCCUCAAGUCAUCAACGGCUCCUUCGGCCUCCACGUGUUGUUGCCAUAUCGCCGCCUCUUUUUCUAGCUUUCCGGUAAGCAUAUGUGCUCAUGGAUCCAAAGAUGGUAGGUUUGGUGAAAUCGAGCGUUAAGCUCGGCUGAUUCGCCCUGCACCAGCACGUACCCCGCCUCUUCAAACUGAGACAGCUCAUCCUCAACGCAGUGGUAUUGGCUCUACCAUAGCUGAUGGUAUGACUUGGGGGUGCUGGAAACGCAAUUGGACACAGGGUUGUGGAUAUGCUGUGAUGGGACCAAGAACCAUUAAGCAUGAAACCGUUGUUUCUGAGGCUGCUGCCCCUGCUUCUGCGCCCCAUGUUGCCAACAGCAUGGGCUCUGCUUCUUGUAACAGUUAGUCCAAGGCUUUCCAGGAAGUAAGUUUAAAACCCCUUUGCUUUAUCGGCAGCUACAUAACUUUCAUGUUGUUGUUGUAGUCUUAUCAAGUUUGUUGCAGCAGGGUUACCAUACACUAUAAAGUUAAUUUCAGUUCAUUGGUUCACAGA